AAGGUGCUUGCUUCCCCUUCACCUUCUGCCAUGACUGUGAGUUUCCUGAGGCCUCCCCAGCCAUGCCUCCUGCACAGCCUGUGGAACCAAAAACCAACUCACAUAUGAUGAAAUGUGAUGGGGGUGAAAUAACAGCAGUGUGAUUUUCGACCACCAACUUGCCUUGGAAGGGAAUUUGGGGAUGUGCACCGCUGGAAGCCAUGUGUUCUGAUAUGAGAAGAACUUCUUCAGAAGAUGUCUUAAUGCAUAUGGGGAAACUGAGGUCCAGGUAAGUAAAGUAAUUUUCAUAGAAAACCGAGACUAGAACCCAUGUUACUCAAUCCCCAGUUAAGACUGAGUUCAUAACACCAUACGGCCAUGCAGAUUAAGUCCUGAACUCUGUCUAUGCAAAAAACUGUGCUUCGUCACUGAGACUGAAAGACCCUCCUCAAAAGGUUUACUCUGUACACCAAAGGGGGGGAAAAAUUUUGGCAUUUUAUAGGCUAAAUCUAGCUUGCAGAUGUCGUUGAGUUUUUUUUUUUUUUUUUUUUCCUGGUUUGUCAAGUGUUUUUGAAAAAUUUGAACUAGUCGAUAUAAUUUAAAAAUCAGGAGUUUUCACAUGCAAAUCCAGAUUUCUGGCUCCCCUUCAAAAAGAGUCCAAGAUCAGGACACACUGGAACCACUUUCUCACAUGGCAGCUAUUGGUUAGAGCAGGUAGUAUGCUGAGCCAGAUCAUACCGGCUCAUAAGAGCCAAUGAUAAAAUAUUCAGAAAUGUUGUGGGCCACGUGUUAAAUGGUAGCUUGAAAUCAGCCGCAGGAUCAUUUACAGCAGCCAUGUUACCAUGGAAACAUGGACAAUGGAAACAUUGGUCCAUUGUCCAUCUGCUCCUGCUCCACAUUGGUCAAGGACGACGCCACCAGCAAAAUUCUCUUGUUCUUCUAGAUUACACAUACAUGAGUUGUCCUGGAAAAUCUCAAGUCAAAGAAGCUGCACUGCAGGAAAUCAAUAUGGUGCAGGCCCCAGGCAAGGCAUCACUGACUAUACUUGCAAGAAACAAAUGCCUGCAAAAAUCAGGACAAGAUGAUUUUGAAGCUGUGCAAAACAGGGGGCAACUAUUGCAUCCAGAAAAAAAAAAAAAAUGAAGAUGAUGAGUUCUCUGCAGCUAAGAUGAAGACCCACUGAGCUUUGGGGUUUAAAAUGCAACGUCAGAACUUCAGACUUCCGGCACCUAGGUCUCCAGCUGCUGAGUGGUGCCAGCAUCAGACAUACACUCUGCAAAACAGAUACUGUCUUAGGAAAAUGUGACCCUGUUGUCCUUUCAGGCCCAUAUUUCACAAGAAGACAAGUGGAGAGUUAAAAGGAAAACUGCAGAUCUGAGUGAAGAGACAGCAAGUUGUCUUUUCUGAUAUAGCCAGCAAAUAAGAUGUUCUGGUUGACAUGUGCUAAAGAUGUCGUGCGGACUUUCAGACUCAGAAUGUGAUCCCAUGUAUUUCUCACUGAAACUAUAUUGAAUGUUAUUUGACCACUGUUGAAUCAGUCAUCUUGAGAAAUGUUAUCUUCAUACAGUACCAAGCAGAGAGUCAGUGACUAGAAUGCCACUGAAACCAGCUUUUUAUAGGACAAGGUUUUCAUGGUUUUAGGGGGUGGGGAAACUUGCACAGUAAUCCACAGCAUUUAAUGAUUUAGGCAGGGUAGGGGAAAAGCGAUGAGCAUUCAUUUUGCUAGCAGUGUAACUUCCGUGGAGGAAUGAUAUACUGCUAAUUGUACUUCACAUUCCCUAUACUUAUACAGGCUUUACUACAUGAUCCAGCAUUGUGAUCAAAGAUGGAAGGAAUCUCUUAAUAGCUUUCCUUCCUUUUUCUAUUCUUAUUUCCUUACCAAUUCCCUUUAUCCCUGGUCCUUUUGCAUCUUUAUUUUUAGUCAGUACCCUGUUACUCUGCUGGAAAGAUCUGUGUAUGAAGCUGGAUAAUAAAAAUGUCAUGAUUGCCAUUUAUUUGGAGGGGUAGAGUGGAGGACUUGCGCAGCAUAGCAGCCCAGGCUGGAAGAGAGGAUCUGGCAGGGAGGAAGUUUGGCUGAAGGACAGGCCCCCUCAGGACUGAUUUCUUGGCAGUCUAUCCAAGUCCUUGGGUGUCUGCACUGGAGUUAUAAUAAUAGCCAAUCUUUAUUAAGCAUUUUGUCAGUGCCAGGAUCUGUGCAUUAUCUUAUUUAAUCCUUACACAACCCCGCAAAGUAGGCACAAUUACCAUCUCAAUUUAAAAGAUGAGGGCUGGCUGGGCGCGGUGGCUCAAGCCUGUAAUCCCAGCACUUUGGGAGGCCGAGACGGGCGGAUCACGAGGUCAGGAGAUCAAGACCAUCCUGGCUAACACGGUGAAACCCCGUCUCUACUAAAAAAAAUACAAAAAACUAGCCGGGCGACGUGGGCGGGCGCCUGUGUCCCAGCUACUGGAGAGGCUGAGGCAGGAGAAUGGCGAAUCCGGGAGGCGAGCUUGCAGUGAGCUGAGAUCCGCCACUGGCACUCCAGCCUGGGCUGCAUAGAGACAGACUCCUCUCAAAAAAAAAAAAAAAAAAAAAAAAAAAAAAAGACUUUGGCCCGCAUGGUGGCUUAUGCCUAUAUAAUCCCAGCCUCUUUGGGAGGCCAAAGCGGUAGAUUACUUGAGAUCAGGAGUUCCAGACCAGAUUGAAAAAAAAAAAAAAAAAAAAAAAAAAAAAAAGACUUUGGCCCGGCAUGGUGGCUUAUGCCUAUAAUCCCAGCUCUUUGGGAGGCCAAAGUGGGUAGAUUACUUGAGAUCAGGAGUUCGAGACCAGAUUGACCAACAUAGUGAAACCCUGUCUCUACUAAAAAUACAAAAAUUAGCCAGGCGUGGUGGUGGGCGCCUGUAAUCCCACCUACUCAGGAGGCUGAGGCAUGAGAAUCGCUUGAACACAGGAGGCAGAGGUUGCAGUGAGCUGAGAUCGUGCCAUUGCACUCCAGCCUGGGUGACAAAGCGAGACUGUCAGACACACAGACACACACAGACACACACACACACACACACACACACAAAGAUUAUAAAGACUUUAGAAAAUGUGCUUCUGUGUCCUUUAAAAACUCUUAAAGAACAAAAUGGUAGUUCCUGGACCAAAAUUCAAAGGACCCAAAUCCUUAUUUCUGUGUAGCCACCAACUCCCUGUAUUAUCGUGACACUGGACCACUGGCUCUCAUCUGUAAAAUUAGGAAGUUUGACUAGAUGGUAUCUGAGGAUGAUUUGGCCUCUGACAUUGGGUGAAUCCUCAGCUUCUAGGAGACGGUGUGGGGCGUGACUCACCUGGGCUAUUCCCACUUGGGAUGUGAGUGGCAAGAAGGCAGCACCUAUGAUUGUAGUGACUGGAUUUCCAAGUCUCCAAUCAGAACACGCAUUACCUGAAUCAUUGAGUGACAACGAGUUGUAAUGGUAACAUCAACCCUACUCCCGAAAUUCAAUGAUAUGGAAGGUAUGGUGGGUAAAUCCAGACCCACUCUCUUGUGGAGGGUGAGGCACUUCAUGAACUUCUAUAUUUGUAUCACCCUAUUUCUCCUUUGACAUCCAGUCCCUGAACUUCUCCACCAGCAAGCAAAAUAAAGCCAAGAGUGGUGUAUGCAUCCUAUUAUAAAAUCAUACCCAGGAUUCUGGACUCCUUAGCUGAUUUCGUCUUAUUCACAUGUGUUUGCAUAUUGCCUUUGUUAAGUGGUUCCAAAUCCAGUUUGUAAAGUACGAGAUGGCAUCGAUGUUCUGGAAAGGGCAAAUGCAUUCUCAUUCAGAGCAAAGGUGACCACCAUAGGAAGCAAGUUUUUAAGCCCUUCCCACUUUAGGAGAGAGAAAACAUAAUUAAGCAAAUUUGCCAUGGUGAGAGGCCUGGCUCUCCUUCCAUUUAAUGGGAAUAGAGCAUUGUGGAGAGGAAAAGUGCCAAAUGGUAUGUGAUUUUUAAAAUCUCCUACGCAUUUAAUAAUUAAUGCUUAUUUUUCUUCUAUUUUCCCCCACCCCCUCAACUCCUUUCCGCACUCAUUACAGCUCUUUGAUAUCCCCUCAGGAAUUAGGAUAUCUCCAGCUGUUUACAUAACCAGAGAUUAAGUCUAAUUGAAGGAGAAAUUUAGGCCACAAAAAAAUCAUGAUAAGAAAGCCAGAAAUGGAGUUUGCCUUGGGUCACAUUCUGAGAUUCAGUCAUAGCAACCUCAAAGGGCAUCGAGCAAAAGUUUUUUGGUGGACUCAUGAAUUAGAGGUGAGAGUGGCUAUUAUUUGCAAAGCUGGAUUAAGUGAAAGCAAAUGGUAACUGAUAUGAGCCUCCUCUCUGGAAGGAAUCUGCUGUGCAUGAGAGAUAAGAUAAAGCUCUAAUAAAAAUACUGACUUAGUUUCUGUUCUUUUGUGCUUACCUGCUCUGCUCCGUGUUAUCUCAUUUUUGUAGGCUUGACCCUGCUGCAGUUUGCAAGUUUCUAGGUGAAUAACUGUUGCACCUUUGUACAUGGUGGGUUUUGUGCAUGGAAUGUAUGUUGCCCAAUCCACUGCCUCUCCUCCCCUAUUGCCCCCACCCUUUCCCUGCUCUGACUUGAGCUGGCCUGAUGCUGAGGCAAAAUAAGCCAUUACUUUAAUAAGCCAUUAUUCACAAUAGAUUGGAAAGACAAGGAGCCCCACAGUGAGCUGACAUCGGCCUUGUAUUCCUAAUCAUGAAAUAGCAGAUAGGGGAUGUGCAUGGGAGGGAGGGAUUGCAGCAAGAAAACUUUGGGGCACUUCUUGGGUGAAAGGGGAGGUGGGAAGGCUGGGCAGGCCCAGGCAAGGACAGCUGCUCCAGUGGACAGUCUGAGUCAGUGCCUCUUGACCUCUAUCUGGGUGUAAGAGAAUCACUUGUGUUACUUAUGAAAAUGCAGAUUCCUUGGUCUCAGCUCCAG
rnacentral:lncRNA from 1 species